CAGCCGCCGCGGUAAUACGUAGGUCCCGAGCGUUGUCCGGAUUUAUUGGGCGUAAAGGGAGCGCAGGCGGUUUAGUAAGUCUGAAGUUAAAGGCAUUGGCUCAACCAAUGUAUGCUUUGGAAACUGUUAGACUUGAGUGCAGAAGGGGAGAGUGGAAUUCCAUGUGUAGCGGUGAAAUGCGUAGAUAUAUGGAGGAACACCGGUGGCGAAAGCGGCUCUCUGGUCUGUCACUGACGCUGAGGCUCGAAAGCGUGGGUAGCGAACAGGAUUAGAGACCCCGGUAGUCCCUGUCUCUUAUACA
rnacentral:rRNA from 1 species